UCGAACUCCUGACCUCAGGUGAUCUGCGC
rnacentral:piRNA from 1 species